AGUACAGAUAGAUGCCACAAGCCAGCUGCCAACAGGAAUCCAGACCCUGGCUAACCAUCACCCAGCUUCCAUCUACUGUGUUCAGGGGCAGACCUGCCUGACUUGGAUAUCAGCUUCUCCAUGAAAAUAUGCAGUGCCUAAAAUUUACACUGAUCGAUUUGUUCACGAGAAAGGACAUUUCUAAAAGAGCCAGGAGACUGCCCCCAGAACCAAGAGGAGUACUGGAGAGCAGAAGAUGAAGAAAAACCUUUAAACAGCAGAGCAGUGAAGUGGAGGGAGAGGCGGCCCCUCUCCUUUGCCAGAGACUCCCACUCCCAGAUGCAGGCUGGAGCGAUCCCUCAUAAUUUAAGCUGACACCCCUCAGCGGAGAUGAAAGGAACACCACUCGCUGCUCUCCAACAACAAAUGUCAGCAUCCCUGGAGGCCGUUUAGACACAAACGCAGCAUAAAUCUGACUCCUAGUGGGGAAGUCCAGAGAUUAAGUCUCCACACACAGCCUACCAGAGUGAAAUGAAUUUGCUUGGCACAAAGUUUGAA
ensembl:lncRNA LMX1A-AS1 LMX1A antisense RNA 1